AAGGGGAUAUUCUAUGAUGCUGCUUUGAGUAUAGCUUUACGGUACAGAAGAGGCAGAAAUCCAAAAAGAUGGAGUGUGAGAGAUAAAGUAGAGAGGGUUUAUAGAGAGCGUGUGGAAAAAGUGCCAGCAAAUCUCGUAUGAUCUCGACCAUUGGAUAUAUUGAUGAGGAAAUGAUUGGUUUAUGUUGAUCGUUCGAUUGAAUAUUGUAAGGGUUUGGAUUAAAAAUGAUGUGUCUCUUUUGCAAAGACUUGUAGUGGUUAGAGAAGAAUGGGGAGUCACAGCAGGGGGGAAGAUGGAGGGACGCGGGGAGAAGAAGGGAAGAAGGAAGGACAUAGGAGUUAUAUAGAGAGAAAAAUGAGGCUGUGGAGAAGAAUGAGGAGUUAUAAAGAGGAGGAAAGAGGAGUUAUAAAGAGGAGGAAAACGGAGUGACACAGGGAGGGAAAGAGAAGACGGGGGACAUGGGAGUUACAUAGAGAGAGAGGAUAAGCAAGCUAUCUAAAUGAGAAAAAAAAAACUCUCAAAGCAAGGAUGUUGCGCCACGUCAGCAAAAUUAUUGAGAAAUAAUAUAUGUUUAUAGAUUAUAGAUUAUAUCACUUUUACAUUAACUAACACGGUCAUUAAUUACAAUA
rnacentral:lncRNA from 1 species